rnacentral:rRNA from 1 species
AUUGAACGCUGGCGGCAGGCCUAACACAUGCAAGUCGAGCGGAGCGGCGGACGGGUGAUUAAUGCCUAUGAAUCUGCCUGGUAGUGGGGGCUAACGUCCGGCAACGGGCGCUAAUACCGCAUCUUAUCCUAUGAGCCAAGGUCGGCUUAGCUAGUUGGUGGGGUAAAGGCCUACCAAGGCGACGAGCCGUAACUGGGCUGAGAGGAUGAUCAGUCACACUGGAACUGAGACACGGUCCAGACUCCUACGGGAGGCAGCAGUGGGGAAUAGUGGACAAGGGGCGAAAGCCUGAUCCAGCCAGGCCGCGUGUGUGAAGAAGGGCUUCGGAUUGUAAAGCACUUUAAGUUGGGAGGCGUUACCAACAGAAUAAGCACCGGCUAACUUCGUGCCAGCAGCCGCGGCAAUUC